UACGUAGGGUGCGAGCGUUAAUCGGAAUUACUGGGCGUAAAGGGUGCGCAGGCGGUUCUGCAAGUCAGGCGUGAAAGCCCCGGGCUUAACCUGGGAAUGGCGCUUGAAACUACAGGACUGGAGUAUGGCAGAGGGAGGUGGAAUUCCACGUGUAGCGGUGAAAUGCGUAGAUAUCAGGAGGAACAUCGAUGGCGAAGGCAGCCCCUUGGACCUGUACUGACGCUCAUGCACGAAAGCGUGGGGAGCAAACAGG
rnacentral:rRNA from 1 species